rnacentral:rRNA from 2 species
GCUUCUAUGACGUUAGCGGCGGACGGGUGAGUAACACGUGGGCAACCUGCCUGUAAGACUGGGAUAACUCCGGGAAACCGGAGCUAAUACCGGAUAACAUUUUCUCUUGCAUAAGAGAAAAUUGAAAGAUGGUUUCGGCUAUCACUUACAGAUGGGCCCGCGGUGCAUUAGCUAGUUGGUGAGGUAACGGCUCACCAAGGCAACGAUGCAUAGCCGACCUGAGAGGGUGAUCGGCCACACUGGGACUGAGACACGGCCCAGACUCCUACGGGAGGCAGCAGUAGGGAAUCUUCCGCAAUGGACGAAAGUCUGACGGAGCAACGCCGCGUGAGUGAUGAAGGCUUUCGGGUCGUAAAACUCUGUUGUUAGGGACAAACAAGUACAAGAGUAACUGCUUGUACCUUGACGGUACCUAACCAGAAAGCCACGGCUAACUACGUGCCAGCAGCCGCGGUAAUACGUAGGUGGCAAGCGUUAUCCGGAAUUAUUGGGCGUAAAGCGCGCGCAGGCGGUUUCUUAAGUCUGAUGUGAAGCCCACGGCUCAACCGUGGAGGGUCAUUGGAAACUGGGGAACUUGAGUGCAGAAGAGAAAAGCGGAAUUCCACGUGUAGCGGUGAAAUGCGUAGAGAUGUGGAGGAACACCAGUGGCGAAGGCGGCUUUUUGGUCUGUAACUGACGCUGAGGCGCGAAGGCGUGGGGAGCAAACANGAUUAGAUACCCUGGUAGUCCACGCCGUAAACGAUGAGUGCUAAGUGUUA